GACGCAGGAAGGUAGCUCAACCGCGGCGAUGGUAGACCGCGGCCAAGGUUGUAGGGCGAGAUGUAGGCAAAUCCGCAUCUCAUAUGCCUGAGAACUGACGGGGAGCCGACUUAGGCGAAGUGAGUGAUCCUAUGCUGCCGAGAAAAGCCUCUAGCGAGUGUGCAAGCCGCCCGUACCCCAAACCGACACAGGUGGUCAGGUAGAGAAUACCGAGGCGAUCGAGUGAACUGUGGUUAAGGAACUCGGCAAAUUGCCCCCGUAACUUCGGGAGAAGGGGGGCCGCGGCUGGUGAUGGGACUUGCUCCCUGAGCUGGCUACGGCCGCAGAGACCAGGUGGAAGCGACUGUUUACUAAAAACACAGGUCCAUGCAAAGUCGCAAGACGACGUAUAUGGACUGACGCCUGCCCGGUGCUGGAACGUUAAGGGGACCAGUUAGUUCUUCGGAGCGAAGCUGAGAACUUAAGCGCCAGUAAACGGCGGUGGUAACUAUAACCAUCCUAAGGUAGCGAAAUUCCUUGUCGGGUAAGUUCCGACCUGCACGAAUGGCGUAACGACUUCCACGCUGUCUCAACCGCAGACUCGGCGAAAUUGCACUACGAGUAAAGAUGCUCGUUACGCGUGGCAGGACGGAAAGACCCCGGGACCUUUACUACAGCUUGGUAUUGGUGGUCGGUUCGAUUUGUGUAGCAUAGGUGGGAGACUUGGAAGCCCGGACGCCAGUUCGGGUGGAGUCAUCGUUGAAAUACCACUCUGAUCGUAUUGGCUGUCUAACCUCGAUCCGUGAUCCGGAUUAGGGACAGUGCCUGGUGGGUAGUUUAACUGGGGCGGUUGCCUCCCAAAGAGUAACGGAGGCGCUCAAAGGUUCCCUCAGCCUGGUUGGCAAUCAGGUGUCGAGUGUAAGUGCACAAGGGAGCUUGACUGUGAGACUGACAGGUCGAGCAGGGACGAAAGUCGGAACUAGUGAUCCGGCGCCGGCAUGUGGAAGCGGCGUCGCUCAACGGAUAAAAGGUACCCCGGGGAUAACAGGCUGAUCUUGCCCAAGAGUCCAUAUCGACGGCAUGGUUUGGCACCUCGAUGUCGGCUCGUCGCAUCCUGGGGCUGGAGUAGGUCCCAAGGGUUGGGCUGUUCGCCCAUUAAAGCGGUACGCGAGCU
rnacentral:rRNA from 1 species